UACGGAGGGUGCAAGCGUUAUCCGGAUUCACUGGGUUUAAAGGGUGCGUAGGUGGGCAAGUAAGUCAGUGGUGAAAUCUCCGGGCUUAACCCGGAAACUGCCAUUGAUACUAUUUGUCUUGAAUACUGUGGAGGUCAGCGGAAUAUGUCAUGUAGCGGUGAAAUGCUUAGAUAUUACAUGGAAUACCGAUUGCGAAGGCAGGUUACUACCAAUGGAUUGACGCUGAUGGACGAAAGCGUGGGGAGCGAACAGG
rnacentral:rRNA from 1 species